CCCUACGGGGUGCAGCAUGCGCGAAAACUUUACAAUGCCGGCAACGGCGAUAAGGGGACCUCGAGUGCCAGGUUACAAAUCUGGCUGUCGCGAUGCCUAAAAAGCAUUGCAUAGCAAGGGCCGGGCAAGACCGGUGCCAGCCGCCGCGGUAACACCGGCGGCUCGAGUGGUAACCGUUAUUAUUGGGUCUAAAGGGUCUGUAGCCGGCCGGGUAAGUCUCUUGGGAAAUCCAGCAGCUCAACUGUUGGGCUUUCAGGAGAUACUGCCUGGCUCGAGGCCGGGAGAGGUGAGAGGUACUUCAGGGGUAGGGGUGAAAUCUUGUAAUCCUUGAAGGACCACCAGUGGCGAAGGCGUCUCACCAGAACGGACCUGACGGCAAGGGACGAAAGCUAGGGGCACGAACCGGAUUAGAUACCCGGGUAGUCCUAGCCGUAAACGAUACUCGCUAGGUGUCGGCCACGGUGCGACCAUGGUCGGUGCCGUAGGGAAGCCGUGAAGCGAGCCACCUGGGAAGUACGGCCGCAAGGCUGAAACUUAAAGGAAUUGGCGGGGGAGCAC
rnacentral:rRNA from 1 species